rnacentral:rRNA from 1 species
UACGUAGGGUGCGGAGCGUUAAUCGGAAUUACUGGGCGUAAAGCGUGCGCAGGCGGUUCGUUAAGUUCGUUGUGAAAGCCCCGGGCUCAACCUGGGAACUGCAAUGGAAACUGGCGGGCUUGAGUGUGGCAGAGGGGGGUGGAAUUCCGCGUGUAGCAGUGAAAUGCGUAGAGAUGCGGAGGAACACCGAUGGCGAAGGCAGCCCCCUGGGCCAACACUGACGCUCAGGCACGAAAGCGUGGGGAGCAAACAGG